AACGCACGAGACCUGCGGACCUGCGGAGGGAUCAUUACCGAGUUAUCCAACUCCCAACCCCUGUGAAUUAUACCUUUAAUUGUUGCUUCGGCGGGACUUCGCGCCCGCCGGGGACCCAAACCUUCUGAAUUUUUUAAUAAGUAUCUUCUGAGUGGUUAAAAAAAUGAAUCAAAACUUUUAGCAACGGAUCUCU
rnacentral:misc_RNA from 1 species